UAUAAAUGAUUUUUUAACAUUAGAGCAUACAUAAAUAAAAGAAAAUCAAAAUCACAUCAUUGAAAAACGAUUUCAUCUUCCCGGGAGAUGCUCGUGCACACCUGGAGCGCAAUCCAUCUUAGAAAUUACAGGCUGUGAGAUUGAUUGCAUGCCCCACUUAUUAAACUUUAACUUCCAGAAUGUUUUUCUAUAUAUCUAUAUUCUUUAAAUAAAAAAUAAAUUUGGAAAUCCUCUAAUUGAGUGUCGGCCGGAACGCUUUUCAGUGCAAUGCGGGUUAUCUUGUGCCCCCACCGGCACAGGGAGACAUGCAUGCUAAAAAUGAAGGGGCAAAAUCGACAGCACAUCUUGACAGACAUGCUCUUUCAAAUUCAAGCCCACCUUUCUCCCUCGCCAUUGAGUGCUAGCUACCAGUAGUGGUAUCUCUGGGUCCGCUGGCUGACUGGGCGUGAAGAUGGUGUCAAAUCAGGUGGCCAAGAAUGGCAAAAGGAGACGACAAAUCUCACAAGGAGGAUCGCUCACAUAUUCCAUCUCUGAUCUCUCCCCGGGAAAUUUCUAGGUGCGUC
rnacentral:lncRNA from 1 species